rnacentral:rRNA from 1 species
UACGAAGGGAGCUAGCGUUGUUCGGAAUCACUGGGCGUAAAGCGCACGUAGGCGGAUUUGUCAGUCAGGGGUGAAAUCCCGGGGCUCAACCUCGGAACUGCCUUUGAUACAGCAAGUCUUGAGUUCGAGAGAGGUGGGUGGAAUUCCUAGUGUAGAGGUGAAAUUCGUAGAUAUUCGGAAGAACACCAGUGGCGAAGGCGGCCAACUGGUCCGGCACUGACGCUGAGGUGCGAAAGCGUGGGGAGCAAACAGG